GCCAUGUAUGUAGAUCUCUGUGUUUCACUCUCGCUUUGUGUCUUAACCUCUCUUUUGUUUGAGCACCUCCAAAUCACUUUGUCAUCUCCUGUGAUGUGGAGGUAAACCCAGGCCCUGCAUGUCCCCAGGCACCCUCCUUUGUUGACUUCUGUGAUCGAAAAAGCCUUGGUUUCAUGCAUGUCAACAUCAGAAGCAUCCUCUAUCAUUUCACUCACUUUGUCCUCAGACUCCGGCCAGGUGUCAUGUGGAGAUUCUUCAAUUCCGUCCACAACCAUGUUGUUCCGCCUUGAUUGUCCCUCGAGGUUAUCUUGGAUUCACACACAGAACUUGCCGCUCUCCUGUUUCAACACAUCGAGCUGACCGUGGGAGAACUGCAAACUGUUCUUCAGGUCCUGGACCAUUUUUUUAUUAGCUGAAUCCAUCAGUAUUUGGACAAAACACUUGAAGGUAUUUUCUUGUUGUUGUAACAACUACUUGUAGAACUUUUUUUUCAUUUAAAAGAUCCUUCAUGUGUGAUAGAGCAGGUCACAAGAAAGAUUGAAAACAACAAACAGCAGGGAUCUAGACAGCCACAAACCCGGGACAAUAGUAGGGUCAUAGACCCCUACACUAAUUAUCUUUGAUCCUCAAAGUGAGUUUUCACUAUUCUACAGACCUAACUUGCUUACCACUUUUUCCAUGUAGCUUAUUCCUUCAAAGACUCCAUGAAAUGAUGACCUCUUCCUUAAUAUUUGGUCACAUUAUUAAUAUUGUUUCCUAGAAUCAAGGGGUGGCUCAACUAACCCCACGUCCCCUACUGUAGGAAACGACUUGUGAAAUUCACCUUACUCUACAGGUUGGAAGGCAAGGUUACUGGUUGUUGAUCUGUGUGGAAUGUCCAUACAGUGGUGCUACCAAGAGACUAGCACUUUGGGAUGAGGGAAAUGCAUGUGUGGGAGGAAAGUGACUGAAAUAGGUAAUGUCUCUCUCACAUCCACAACUGUUGUUUAAAGGCACACGUCAUCACAGAUAAUCUGUGUAGCGCCUGACAUGAAGCAACAGAGAGGUAUGAAAAGUGACACUAUUGAGAUAGAACUAGAAUAUAGGACUUUCCUGGAGACACCAUGAGCCAAUGUCUUUUCUGAGAGUGGUGCGAUGUACUAGCUAAUUGACAAAACUCAUAUACUGGUAAAUCAAUCAAAGGAUUUACUGCUGACUAUGACAUUUAUACAUCUUGCAUCAUCAACCUGGAGGGUUUUCACAGGUUAUAUUUCCAGAAUAUCUCAUGAAACAGAUUUUCUUCUAAUCUACUCUAAUCAUAAAGGUUACUUAUUUCAUCUACAUUUGUGGUACAUAUGAAACAAUGUAAGCAUCAAUACACAAAUGACUUGCCUACCUAUUAAGCCUCGAUUGAGCAGAACUGCGGCUAGAUGCAUUUCUUACGUUUUUAAUCAGCUAAUGAUUUUAAAAAUUCUAACUUACAAACCAGUUGGGAAUGUGUUUGCAUAAGUGAAGUUAACUAGCUAUCAGUUCAGUUGCCAUCUUGAGUCCCUAUAAACAGAUUGAAAAACAUAUUUGCUACAUUUGUCAUUGGCUGGCUAGCAAGUUCACCAGGAUUUAAAAAUAUUUCGGGCCUUCAUAAUUUAAACCUUCCUGUAUUCACAAUUAGUCAGUUUAGUUGUUCAUCUAAAGAGCUGAUCAAAUCAUUUGGAUGAGAUUGCUUGCUAGCCAGCUAGCAGCGAACAUUAGAUCGUUGUGUAAAUUGUUAGCUGGAUAGCUAGCUUGGCUAGUGGGCUGAUAAAAGAGAACAUGGCAUUGUAUGUUCAAAUUAUGGAAUAAAAAACUUAAUAAAGGAAUUUGUUGA
ensembl:lncRNA